rnacentral:rRNA from 1 species
UACGGGGGGGGCAAGCGUUGUUCGGAAUUACUGGGCGUAAAGGGCUCGUAGGUGGCCAACUAAGUCAGACGUGAAAUCCCUCGGCUUAACCGGGGAACUGCGUCUGAUACUGGAUGGCUUGAGUUUGGGAGAGGGAUGCGGAAUUCCAGGUGUAGCGGUGAAAUGCGUAGAUAUCAGGAGGAACACCAAUAGCGAAGGCAGCUCGCUGGGACGUUACUGACACUGAGGCGCGAAAGCGUGGGGAGCGAACAGG